UUAAAAUACUGUCUAUUUUAUAGCUCUGUCUCCUGAAAAAUAUAGAAUCUGUGUAACCCAGGAGAAAUGAGCACCCAUAGCACUCAGUCUGUGACAUCUAAGUAUCACUUCUCAGUAAAAGAAUCAUAGCGUCUUGGAGAAAUGACCAAGUCAAGGUCUCAGGCAGAAAAUGCAUAAGAUCAUUAUGGAACAACUGUUUGUGCUGGAAAGUGGGAAAGCUAUCAGAGGCAAAUAAGGAUAUAUCAAAAGGACACAGCACUAAUUUUGAGGAGCAUGGCCUAAGCAGGAAUCCCAGCUCCCGUAUAUUUUGGAGUCUUGAUUGACACUUCUUGCCUCAAAUGGGGAUUUAAAAGGUGUGGAAGUAGAGGAUCCUGCAGAUUAUAUGAUUCAGAUGCUUUUAGACACAUAUAUCUGGGACUAACUAUGAUGCUGGGCACAAUGUCCAUUUUCCUAAGCAUUGCAGUACUUUUCAUUUUAAAGAAAAAUUAUGUUUCAAAACAAAGAAGCUUCAGAACCAAGAGAGAAGGAACAAUGGUGUCUCCAAGAAUCAGGAAGGAAAAUUGUACUACAAGUGAUCAUUUGCUACAACCCAACUACUGGCCAGGCAAAGAAACUCGGCUUUAGAAAAAUGAUGACUUGAAACCAUGUUUUCUAAUUUCUGGAAAUUCUGCAAACAAAUUUUAAUCAAAAGUGUUUUAAAUGCGCAAAUUCUUUCUCCUUUCAAAAAAUUUCUACUUAGGUAUUAGAUAAUGUACCUGAUAACAAAUAUCAUAAUCAUAUUAUAGAAGAUGUAGAUGAUAAAGUUAAUCUUAGACUUUUUAAUUUAUAUAUAAAUUCCUUAUAUUGUUUACUCAUUCUGUUUAAUUUUGCCUCGUGCCCAUUGGUAUAUUAGCUUUAUUCCUAGUAGAACAAUUGUCCCUAUAGUGUAAUGGCUAUGUGUAAAGUAAUUUCUAAACUGAGAUACUUGUCUAAGAUAAGAGAAUACUGUUAAAAAUUUAAACCACUUCUUGGCCUUCAGACAUCACCUUAGUGAUGUUAGGAUGGAGCUGGUAUAUGUGGAGGAAGACUUCAUUUCAAGCUCUUCUUUUCUUUUGAAAUACAAUAACUGAUUUAGAAAUGUGUACUGGUAAAUAACCUUGAGGGAUUCAAAUUUGAAUUAUUAGCUCUUGUGACAUUCAUUACAUGUACUUUAUGUAUGACAUUUUAAGUGACCAUGGUUGUAAAGUACUAAAAUUACUGUUAACAUGCUUUAUUGUCCUUCCGUGAA